UCUUCGGGGGGUAAUCAGCGGCAGACGGGUGAGUAACACGUAGGUGAUCUACCCCAGAGACGGGGAUAACGGGUGGAAACAUCCGCUAAUACCGGAUAGGCUUGUUCGGUCAAAGGGACAAGGAAAGGCUCCGGCGCUCUGGGAGGAGCCUGCGGCCCAUCAGCUAGUUGGCGGGGUAACGGCUCACCAAGGCGACGACGGGUACCGGGACUGAGAGGUUGAUCCGGCGCAUUGGGACUGAGACACUGCCCAGACUCCUACGGGAGGCUGCAGUAACGAAUAUUGGACAAUGGGCGCAAGCCUGAUCCAGCGACGCCGCGUGUAGGAUGAAGUCCUUCGGGAUGUAAACUACUGUCAGGGACCACCAAGUAAUCGGGGCUAGUAUCCCCGUGCGCUGAGGAAUCCCAGAGGAAGUCACAGCUAACUUCGUGCCAGCAGCCGCGGUAAGACGAAGGUGGCGAGCGUUGUUCGGAAUCACUGGGCUUAAAGAGUAUGUAGGCGGAUGAUCAAGCGUUUUGUGAAAGCCCUCGGCUCAACCGAGGAAUCGCUUGGCGAACUGGUCAUCUUGAGGCAGGUAGGGGCAACUGGAACUCUUGGUGGAGCGGUGGAAUGCGUAGAUAUCAAGAGGAACGCCAAAGGCGAAGGCAAGUUGCUGGGCCUGUCCUGACGCUGAGAUACGAAAGCCAGGGGAGCGAACGGGAUUAGAUACCCCGGUAGUCCUGGCCCUAAACGAUGUCCACUAGAUCGGAGAUUCUCUGACGGAUUUCUGGUCGAAAUGAAAACGAUAAGUGGACCGCCUGGGGAGUACGGCCGCAAGGCUAAAACUCAAAGGAAUUGACGGGGGCUCACACAAGCGGUGGAGCAUGUUGCUUAAUUCGAUGCAACGCGAAGAACCUUAUCCUGGGCUUGACAUGACCGGAUGCCCCCCUGGAAACAGGGUUCGGUUGCCCUUCGGGGUGAAACGGUCACAGGUGCUGCAUGGCUGUCGUCAGCUCGUGUCGUGAGAUGUUGGGUUAAGUCCCGUAACGAGCGAAACCCUUGUCGUUAGUUGCCAGCGGGUCAUGCCGGGGACUCUAACGAGACUGCCGGUGUCAA
rnacentral:rRNA from 1 species